GCGGGUUUUGAAUCGUAAAGGAUGAGAACCGUAAGGUUUGACAAAAUCGGGAGAUCGAUUUUGAGCAACGCGAAAGCGUUGACCCCGAAGGGGCGAGGCCGCAGGCCGAGUAAUCCUGCACGACCCACCA
rnacentral:sRNA from 1 species